GCCUGCUCAGAUUAAAGCAAGAGGCUGAAUACCUAGGAUUGUGCAAGGGAGCUCCCAGGAUCGGAUGGAGCUGGCUUUGAUAUCACAUCUGUGGACAUAGAGGAUUGGGAACACCAUCAGAAUCCAGAACAGUGCAGACUUUUGACUUGGGAAACCUUCCCAGAGGACAGCAACUAGCUGGAGGUGCUGAAUGCUGGUUUGUGUGUGUAGGGGGAGGUGGUGGUGGUGUGAGGGUCUGGCAUUUGACUCCAAUUAAGGUGAAAUCUGGAGAGAACAGGAAGCAGAGCAAAAAGUGGAUGUGAUGAAGGAGUCAGGGUGUCUCCCAGCUGCUCCAUCUGCUGUGGGGAGAGAUGGAUGGACAGAAGUGCUGCUGUUUGCGACAACCUGCCUCCAAAAUGUGAAUAAGAAAAUCCUGCAAGAGAACCUGGUUCAGUCGUGCUUGUGCUGUUAAGAUCUAUUUCAUUCAGAGCAGACAAACGUUCACCAGGGUUGCUCCAUUGGAAGAGAAGUAGAUUACCUGGAGCAGAAGAGCUAAAACCCCUCUCGAUGAAGUUAGAUUGGUUUGGGGUGCGUUCCCCACUCUGUAUACAAAUCGUCCUAACCAUGGGCACUGUGUAACCACAGCGUAUGACUGGCUAAAGUGUCGGGUUGCCUCCUUUUUAUUUCUUAUAUAAGUUUGAACAAUGAUCACAGUCAAUUCGGAUGGAAAAAUAAUGAUCAGAAGAUGUCUUGUCACCUUGAGACCUUUUAGGAUAUUUGUGUUGGGCAUUGGAUUUUUCACUCUGUGCUUCUUAAUGACAUCAUUGGGAGGCCAGUUUUCAGCCAAAAGACUGGGAGACUCUCCCUUCACCAUCAGAACCGAAGUGAUGGGCGCGCUGGAGUCCAGAGGGGUGCUGCGGAAGAUGAGCGACAUGCUGGAGAUGAUGGUGAAGAGGAUGGACGUACUAGCCAGGCUGGAGAAUAGCACUGACUUCCGGAGAGGGGAGGAGGCACGUUUUCCUCCGGACAGGUUCCAGCCAGCAGCAGGUUUGAUGGAGAGGAUCCAAGCUAUUGCUCAGAAUGUCUCUGACAUUGCAGUGAAAGUAGAUCAGAUUCUCCGGAACAGCCUCAUGAAUGGGAAAGUGAUAGAAGGCAGACGGGACCAAUGCGAGGUGCCCAGGGACCCCAAAUACCCUGACUGCUCUGGAAAAGUGGAGUGGAUGAGGGCCAGGUGGACGUCUGACCCCUGCUAUGCAUUUUUCGGCGUGGACGGCACAGAAUGCUCGUUCCUCAUCUACCUCAGCGAAGUUGAGUGGUUUUGUCCUCCGCUGCCUUGGAGAAAUCAGACAGCAGCCAUGCCAUCCUCAAAGCCACCACCCAGAGUGCAGGCAGCUUUUCGGAGCAACCUGUCUUACCUCCUUGAGCUGAUCGGGAGUGGCAAGGAAUCCUUGAUCUUCAUGAAGAAGAGAGUCCGGCACUUGGCCUCACAGUGGCUUCUGGCAACCCGAAGCCUGGCGCAGAAACUGAAGGGCAGACGGCGGGAUCAAAAACAGAUCUUGAUUCACAUCGGCUUCCUGACGGAGGAGUCAGGGGAUGUUUUCAGCCCCAGGGUGCUGAAGGGGGGACCUCUGGGCGAGAUGGUCCAAUGGGCAGAUAUCUUAGCUGCCCUCUUCAUUCUGGGACACAGCCUGAAAGUCACAGUUUCUUUGAAAGAGCUGCAGAGUAAUUUAGGGGUGCCUCCAGGACGGGGCAAUUGUCCCUUGACUGUCCCUUUGCCCUUUGACCUCAUUUACACUGAUUACCAUGGCCUCCAGCAAAUGAAGCAACACAUGGGGCUCUCCUUUAAGAAAUACAGGUGUCGCGUUCGGGUCAUUGAUACCUUUGGGACAGAGCCAGCCUACAACCUUGAGGAGUAUGCCACUCUGCACGGCUACCGGACAAACUGGGGGUACUGGAACCUGAAUCCCAAGCAGUUCAUGACCAUGUUUCCUCACACUCCCGACAACUCCUUCAUGGGCUUUGUGUCUGAGGAGCUCAACGAGACUGAGCGGCAAUUCAUUAAGUCCAACAAAGCAAGCAACAUGGCAGUGGUGUACGGGAAGGAAGCCAGCAUCUGGAAGAGCAAAGAAAAGUUCCUGGCCAUCCUUAACAAGUACAUGGAGAUCCACGGCACUGUUUAUUAUGAAACCCAGCGUCCUCCAGAGGUCCCAGCUUUUGUCAAGAACCAUGGCCUUCUGCCACAGCACGAGUUCCAGCAGCUUCUGAGAAAAGCCAAGCUUUUCAUCGGAUUUGGAUUCCCUUAUGAAGGUCCUGCCCCUUUGGAAGCGAUAGCCAAUGGGUGUGUUUUCCUGCAGUCUCGUUUCAACCCGCCGCACAGCUCCCUCAAUCAUGAAUUUUUCAGGGGGAAGCCUACAUCAAGAGAGGUGUCCUCCCAACACCCCUAUGCAGAGGACUUCAUAGGGAAGCCUUAUGUGUGGACAGUGGACUACAAUAACUCAGAGGAGUUUGAAGCCGCUGUCAAAACCAUCAUGAGGACCAAGGUGGACCCUUACGUACCCUAUGAAUACACCUGCGAGGGGAUGCUGGAGCGGAUUCACGCCUAUAUUCAGCACCAGGAUUUCUGUGCUGGAGCUUCUCCUCCUCUGCCAGCGAAGCCCAAUGGCCAUGCUAUGCCAAGCUCUCCGAGUCCAUUCACCCUGUCACCGAACGCCACUCACCUUGUGUGGUCGUACAAUGCCAGCAGCGUCCCCCAUGUCUGGCCUCCUGUGAGCUCCAUGCAGGUGUGGGUGUCUGAGGCUGGGCGAGCCUGCACUGAGACCUGUCAGGAGCACGGGCUGGUCUGUGAGCCGAUAUUCUUCGAGUUUCUCAACAAGAAGGACGUGUUUCUCCAGCUUCGCAUUGCCUGUGACAGCAUGGAGUCUGAGAUGAGCCACCUCUACCCGGCGCUGGCUGAAAAUGUGCAGGAGUGCUACCUCCAGAAGGAACCGCUGCUGUACAGCUGCGCAGGCUACAGCACCAAGUACCGGCGCCUCUGCCCAUGUCGCGAUUACCAGAAAGGACAAGUGGCUCUGUGCAGGGACUGCUUGUGAUUCCACCCCCUGCUCCCAGAGUCCGGAGAGUGUGUGUUGUGACAUGCCACACGCAACAAGUAGCUUUUUCUCAAAGCUUCUGCAAUACCCAAGAAGGACAGGACAGCUCCCUGUUCUUGGAAACUCAUGUCGAGACUUUGGAUGUCAGACUCUGUCGGUUGUUUUGUCUGCCAGUCAAAUGUCCGUGACUGACCACCUGCUCAUGUUGGAUUUUUGUUUCUCAAGACACAUCUCCUUCCAAGCCCAAGCCCACCUGAACUUCAGAGGAGUCCAGUGCCACUUCAGUAGGACAAGGCGCCAGCAGCCUCCAACGGCCCCACCUGGCUGGAAGGAGGAAGAUCAGCACAAACCAAAUCAAUGAAGGAAAGAUGACACACCAAGCGACAGGUGGGAUUCUGAGAUCUUGUCACUUAUUGUGGACGAAAAGAAUCAAUAUAUGUUCUAGGGCCACAGGCUCCCAACAGCGCUUUUUUAACCACAUCAAAUCAGACCAUGACAAGAAAAUGGAGAGUGGCAAUGGAGUGGGAAACCAGGGGAAAGCCAAGGGCUGCUGCACUGAGUACUUACUCGCAUUCUCAAUGCGAAGGGAAGCAUCAGUAGGAUCAGCCAAGGGGAGGAAUUACUGCUGGACUCAGGAUGCUGAGUUGUGCAAAGAAACAAAAAUCUGGAGGACUUUGAAUGCUUCCUCUGGUCACUGAGCCACAAGGUCCUUAAGGCCCACAUGGGCAAUUCCAGAGCAAUGCCUGUUCCGUGUGCAAAACCUUUGCCCCUUGUGUGCACAAAUUGCUUGUCUGCAUGCACAAUUGUAACCCAUGCUAGUGCAGUGUGAGACUUUGUCCCUGCCUGAUGCAGGUCUGUAUAAGAGGAUAAAUGUCUAUUACUGUGGCUGCCUUACGGCAUGACUCCUUUGGCUCAAGUGGGAGCAGUUCAUGCUUUUAACGCUGACGGGCUCUUCUUCAAAUCCAAGUGGAGUAGGAGUCAUGCAAUUGUCUGAUUUCUGAGGAGAUUGGGAGGGUGCCUAUGGGUUUCUCUAUUGCAUGAGGUUUUGGAAAGCUGCCCCAGGUGUUACUAUUGGGUGCAGGCAGCCACAAUUUGCUAAAUGAGACAGCUGCUGGAUACAUCACAUCCUCACUAGGACAAUCAAACUGUGCUUCUAGCCCCUCUGACCUCUGCGCUUUCCCAGCAGCACCAUGUUUCAGUGCACUGCCCUCUUUUCUGAGAGCCUUCAAUCUCUGCUGUGCCAGCCUCUGGCAGCAUUACCAUCCCACUGGCCAUUGCCAGCCCUUCUGAUCUCCCAAGGGUAUAAAUGUUACCUGACACCACUGAUGGGCAUUAACUCCUUCUGAAAACAAUAUACAGAGGGCUUCUGAUUUGGGGCUUUAUUAAUUUAAAUUUGGGGAGGGUAUUUUAGCGAUUUUUGAAUUCUAUAUCCAUGUCCAAAAAUCAGGGCUUUUUGGGGCUUUCUCUGUCAUAUGGAAGAGAUUUUUGGGGGGUACUUCCCAAAGUUCUUCUCUAAAUAGGGUCCACUUUAAUUUGUAUGAUAUGUAUACCAAUGGCUUACGCAUAGUUUAAGCUUAGCAUGCUUGUAAUUGAACUCCUGAUCUGGGGUUUAGUGUAUUUGUUCCCUAGAGCACGUUAACGCAGUACUGCAUCAAACAGCACUACAUGAAAGCGCAUCAGGGAACCUUUAGUGUGCACAAGCAGGGUCUGCAUGGACCAAUCCAGUUACAAAUCCAGAGUCCACAUUAUUGCUUCCGGUAGACAAUGUCUUUGAUGCAAGUUGGAGAGCAGGAGCAUCCCUUAUAGAAACAAACGUCACUGGGAAAGGGGUGACAUCAGCAUGAAUUGAGUAACCAUUUGUGUUUUUCUGGCAUUUAUUGGAUGAAUCAAUUUUAUUUUUUUUAUCGGCGGUGUUCUACUGGUGUCUAUCAGUUAAAACCUAAAAUCAGAAGCCGUAAAUAUACCACACACAACAGGCAAACCGAGCAGCAUCACCAGCUCCCUGCUCAGAGAGGUGUUUUGAAAUGGUGCCACAUGGGGGUAGUGUAGAGAUUCACACACAUUGUGUAUCCCGCUUCUCCCUUGGUAAUGUACAGUUCUCUGCUUUGUCCUUGCCUCUCUCUGUCUCUUGUUUUAUAUGAAAAUAAAUAUGACCGGCCUAUGAAAGGGAAGGCUCGUUCUUUGUCUCUCUCUGGAUGGACUGGGAACUGUUCUGAGUCUGGGAUCCUACAGAGGGUGGGAGCAUUUCUCAGCUAUUGUGAU